rnacentral:rRNA from 1 species
UAGGAUUAGAUACCCUAGUAGUCCACGCCGUAAACGAUGAGAACUAAGUGUUGGGGAAACUCAGUGCUGCAGUUAACGCAAUAAGUUCUCCGCCUGGGGAGUAUGCACGCAAGUGUGAAACUCAAAGGAAUUGACGGGGGCCCGCACAAGCGGUGGAGGAUGUGGUUUAAUUCGAAGCAACGCGAAGAACCUUACCAGGCCUUGACAUGGAGAUAAAGGCCCUGGAGACAGGGAGAUAGAUAUAUCUCACACAGGUGGUGCAUGGUUGUCGUCAGCUCGUGUCGUGAGAUGUUGGGUUAAGUCCCGCAACGAGCGCAACCCUUGUUUCAUGUUACCAAUAUUGAGUUAGGGACUCAUGAGAGACUGCCGGUGACAAACCGGAGGAAGGUGGGGAUGACGUCAAAUCAUCAUGCCCCUUAUGGCCUGGGCUACACACGUACUACAAUGGCGGUUACAAAGGGCAGCGACCCUGUGAGGGGGAGCGAAUCCCGGAAAGACCGUCUCAGUUCGGAUUGAAGUCUGCAACCCGACUUCAUGAAGUUGGAAUCGCUAGUAAUCGCGAAUCAGCAUGUCGCGGUGAAUACGUUCUCGGGCCUUGUACACACCGCCCGUCAAACCAUGGGAGUUGGCAAUACCCGAAGCCGGUGGCAUAACCUAAAGGAGUGAGCCGUCGAAGGUAGGGCCGAUGACUGGGGUUAAGUCGUAACAAGGUAUCCCUACGGGAACGUGGGGAUG